rnacentral:lncRNA from 1 species
AGGCCGGAGCCCAGGGUCUGUCUGGCAGGCAGACAGGUGCCAGCAGCUCGCAGCCUGGCGUUCCCGCUCUGGGGGCCGUCCGGGAACAGAGGCGCGCGAAGUGCGCGUGCGCGGCGGCGGAGGCGGUGGCGGCGCGAGGCAGAGCCAGAGCCCGGGGUCGGUCAAUCAGGUGCGGGCGGCUGGAGCAUGGCUUUGUGAGGCCUCUGAGGGGACCCGGCGGUGGCGGCCACGGCGGGACGGGCCGCCCACCAGUUGAACUCCGACAGCUGAGGCGGCUGAGGAGAUUAGACUCCAGAGAUAAUGAUAUUAGGAAAUCCAAACUGAAAUGGACCCCAGAGCAAUUGAAGAAAGAAAGAGUCAAGACAAAAAAAAGUUGCUGAUUCCAGUCUAGAGGAAACAGUAAGGAAGAGAAAAGAGAAAUUCUCAUUAUAGCCAUGGCAAAGGAAGGGACAUUUUUAUGGACUACAUCUCUGCCUGGAUGGCUGUCUCUAACUGGAUUUUGCCAAUAUAUGCUGAUUUGAGUUGGAGUUUCACUCUGUCGCCCAGGCUGGAGCGCAGUGGUGCGAUUGCGGCUCACUGCAACCUCUGCCUCCAGGGUUCAAGCGAUUCUCCUGCCUCAGCCUCCCGAGUAGCUGGGACUACAGACAUGUGCCACCACACUCAGGGGGAGAUAUGAAAUUAUCCAGGAAUGGCAAUUUGACCACAAAAUACAUGAACAGAUGGUUCUUGCCUUUGAAUGGGAAAAGAUGCUGCCUAGUCCAUCUUGUAUUGGAAAAUGUUGUGACUCAGUGCAAAUUUUACACUUUUGGAUGCAUUUGGAUUUCUUGGAUGUUGUAAGCACUUCUCCUUCCUGCCACCACGUGAAGAAGGACAUGUUUGCUUCCUCUUCCACCAUGAUUGUAAGUUUCCUGAGGCCACCAAGUCCUGCAGAACUGAGAUUUUUACACCUAUCUGUGAUGCUAUCUUGUGACCAUGAGGAGUGCUAAGCUGAAUCACAAAUCCACCAUGCUGAGGACAGCACAACAAAGACUUGGGGACUUAAUGGUUUCAACCAGUCACUGGGUUAACAAACCCUGGAACAAUCCCACCUCAAAACUUCAGUUACCUGUCCUGCUGACGUCAGACCCAGCACCAGGUGCAGAAGCAACCAUCAUACAAAAAUCAAGCUUCCUUAAUUAUGUCUACUGCAGUUUGCUGGGGGUCCACUCCAAACCCUGUUUGCCUGGGUAUCACCAGUGAAGGCUGCAGAACAGUGAAGAUUGCUUCCUGCUCCUUCCUCCAGAAGCUUUUUCACAGAGGGGCAUCACCCUGAUGCCAGCCAGAACUCUCCUGUAUAAGGUGCCUGGUGACCCCUGUUGGGAGGUCUCACCCAGUCAGCAGGCCUGGGAUCAGGGACCUGCUUAAGGAAGCAGGCUGGCUAUCCCUUAGCAUAGCUGGUACACUGUGCUGGGUGAAUCCCCCUUGUCCGGAUCACCCAAAUUCUUCAGAGCCAGCAGGCAGGAAAGAUUAAGUCCACUGAACCUGAGACUGCAGGCACCCCUCCCCACAGGGCUCUGUCGUAGGGAGAUGAGAGUUCUGUCUAUAAGCCCCUCACUGGAGUGCUGGAAUUCCUGCAGGGAGGCCCUGCCCAGUGACGAGGAAUGGAUCCAAGUCCCACCUAAAUAAUCAGUCUGGCUACGAUCUGCCACAGCCACUGUGCUGCACUGUGGGGAGUACCACCCAGUCCAAACUGCCCAGCCUUCCUAGCACUGGCAGGCGAAAACUGCUGAUUAGAGCCACAGUGAUGGUGGUUGCCCCUCCCCCCAGGAACUCCGUCAUCUUAGGCCAACUCCAGGCUGCUGUGACUGGCCAGCAGGGAUUCCAAGCCAGUGGGUCUUAGUUUGCAGGGUUCCAUGGGAGUGGGUCCCACUGAGCAAGGUUGUUUGGCUCCCUGGUUUCAGCCCCCUUUCAAAAGGAGUGGAAGGUUCUCCUACCUCACAAGAGUUCCGAGAGCAACCGGAGUAUGUAACAACUCCUGCUGCUCAGUGCUUCCCUGAACGGCUGCUGACUGGAGCAGCCGCCAUGGGUCUGCCCAGUUUUGUGCUUGAGACCCAAGGCACUGGUGGUGUAGGCUUACGAGGGAAUCUCCUGAUGCAUGGAUUGCAAAAAUCCGUAGGAAAAGCCUACUACCCCAGACGGGUAGCACAUUCCCUCACUGCCUUCCUUGGCUGGGGGAGGGAGUUUCCUCCCAGGUGAACCGUUAUUCCACCUGCUGCUUUUCCUUGCUCUUUGUGGGUCACACGAACCGCCUAGUCAGUCCCAAUGAGAUGAACUGGGUACCUCAGUUGGAAAUGCAGAAAUCACUCGCCUUUUGCAUUCGUCUCAAUGGGAGCUGCAGAACAGAGCUGUUUCUACUCAGCCAUCUUGGCCCCUCCCCCCAAAAGAAAAUUUUGAAAGAAGCCAGGGAAAAAACAUACAGUAUAUACAGAUGAACAAAGAAAAGGAUUAUACGGCCGGGCACAGUGGCUCAC